AUGUACCACGCGUACACGCCGGUUCCUCCGCGCCGUCCGCACCCGCCUGACGACCGCACGCUAGGUUUUGUUGGCC
rnacentral:sRNA from 2 species